rnacentral:rRNA from 1 species
UCAAGUGAAUAAGUGCAUGUGGUGGAUGCCUUGGCGAUUACAGGCGAUGAAGGACGUUGUAGCCUGCGAAAAGCUGCGGGGAGCUGGCAAACAAGCUUUGAUCCGCAGAUGUCCGAAUGGGGAAACCCACCCGCAAGGGUAUCGAUGGCUCAAUACAUAGGUCAUCGAGGCGAACGUGGCGAACUGAAACAUCUAAGUAGCCACAGGAAAAGAAAUCAACCGAGAUUCCGAAAGUAGUGGCGAGCGAAAUCGGAGCAGCCUGUGCGUGAUAGUCGAUUGGCUAGUGGAACGGUAUGGAAAGGCCGGCCAUAGAGGGUGAUAGCCCCUUACACGAAAGCGAAUCGGUGGUACUGAGCGUACGACAAGUAGGGCGGGACACGUGUAAUCCUGUCUGAAGAUGGGGGGACCAUCCUCCAAGGCUAAAUACUCGUAAUCGACCGAUAGUGAACAAGUACUGUGAAGGAAAGGCGAAAAGAACCCCGGGAGGGGAGUGAAAUAGAUCCUGAAACCGCAUGCAUACAAACAGUCGGAGCCUCGCAAGGGGUGACGGCGUACCUUUUGUAUAAUGGGUCAGCGACUUACGUUCAGUGGCAAGCUUAACCAGAUAGGGGAGGCGCAGGGAAACCGAGUCCGAACAGGGCGCCAUAGUCGCUGGGCGUAGACCCGAAACCAGGUGAUCUAUCCAUGGUCAGGAUGAAGGUUGGGUAACACCAGCUGGAGGUCCGAACCGACUAAUGUUGCAAAAUUAGCGGAUGAACUGUGGAUAGGGGUGAAAGGCUAAUCAAACCUGGAAAUAGCUGGUUCUCCCCGAAAACUAUUUAGGUAGUGCGUCAUGUAUUGCUCCAGGGGGUAGAGCACUGUAAUGGUUGUGGGGGCCAUCGCGGCUUACCACGCCAUAGCAAACUCCGAAUACCUGGAAGUAUGAGCAUGGCAGACAGUCGCCGGGUGCUAACGUCCGGCGGCAAGAGGGAAACAACCCAGACCUACAGCUAAGGUCCCAAAGUGUGGCUAAGUGGGAAACGAAGUGGGAAGGCUAAAACAGUCAGGAUGUUGGCUUAGAAGCAGCCAUCAUUUAAAGAAAGCGUAAUAGCUCACUGAUCGAGUCGUCCUGCGCGGAAGAUGUAACGGGGCUAAGCCAUGCACCGAAGCUUGGGCUGUACUCUUUGAGUACGGGGUAGGGGAGCGUUCUGUAAGCCUGUGAAGGUGUCUCGCAAGGGAUGCUGGAGGUAUCAGAAGUGCGAAUGCUGACAUGAGUAGCGUUAAAGCGGGUGAAAAGCCCGCUCGCCGUAAGCGCAAGGUUUCCUACGCAACGUUCAUCGGCGUAGGGUGAGUCGGCCCCUAAGGUGAGGGCGAAAGCCAUAGCUGAUGGGAAGCUGGUUAAUAUUCCAGCACCGAUUCCAGUGCGAUGGGGGGACGGAUCGUGGAAGGUUGUCCGGGUGUUGGAAGUCCCGGUUCCUGACCUGUAGGUGUCUGGUAGGUAAAUCCGCCAGGCGUAUGCCGAGGGGUUGGGACGAGCGAGCUUGCUCGCGAAGCAACUGGAAGUGGUUCCAAGAAAAGCCUCUAAGCUUCAGCUGGAAAUCGACCGUACCGCAAACCAACACUGGUGCGCGAGAUGAGUAUUCUCAGGCGCUUGAGAGAACUCGGGAGAAGGAACUCGGCAAAUUGACACCGUAACUUCGGAAGAAGGUGUGCCCUGGUAGCUUGAGUGUGAACAACACGAGGGCGAAGGGGUUGCAAAAAAUAGGUGGCUGCGACUGUUUAUUAAAAACACAGCACUCUGCAAACACGAAAGUGGACGUAUAGGGUGUGACGCCUGCCCGGUGCCGGAAGGUUAAGUGAUGGGGUGCAAGCUCUUGAUCGAAGCCCCGGUAAACGGCGGCCGUAACUAUAACGGUCCUAAGGUAGCGAAAUUCCUUGUCGGGUAAGUUCCGACC